GACGAACGCUGGCGGCGUGCUUAACACAUGCAAGUCGAACGGAAAGGCCCUGCUUUUGUGGGGUGCUCGAGUGGCGAACGGGUGAGUAACACGUGAGUAACCUGCCCUUGACUUUGGGAUAACUUCAGGAAACUGGGGCUAAUACCGGAUAGGAGCUCCUGCUGCAUGGUGGGGGUUGGAAAGUUUCGGCGGUUGGGGAUGGACUCGCGGCUUAUCAGCUUGUUGGUGGGGUAGUGGCUUACCAAGGCUUUGACGGGUAGCCGGCCUGAGAGGGUGACCGGCCACAUUGGGACUGAGAUACGGCCCAGACUCCUACGGGAGGCAGCAGUGGGGAAUAUUGCACAAUGGGCGGAAGCCUGAUGCAGCAACGCCGCGUGCGGGAUGAAGGCCUUCGGGUUGUAAACCGCUUUCGCCUGUGACGAAGCGUGAGUGACGGUAAUGGGUAAAGAAGUACCGGCUAACUACGUG
rnacentral:rRNA from 1 species